UGUGAAGGCAGUUUAGACAUUUAGACAUGUUGUCUUGUGGAAGCAGAGAAAGCUCAGGUGUUACAAAACUGACAACAACAACGAGCUCCGAAGCAGCUGAUUGUUAAUUCAGCCGUCAUUCGCGUGAUUAUUUCUGACUGAGUUCAGUGUGGAAAUCACCUGUUUGGAGUUGUCGACAGCCUCCGUCCACCAGAAUCAGCUCCCUGUGAGUCAGGAGCGUCGCGCUUUUUUUUUGUUUUUUUUGUUUUUUUGGUGAGGGAUUUCCUGGCUGGCUGUCUCUCCACCGGCACAUUCUGCCUUUGCCCUGGAUGAUGCGCUCCUCUUCCCGAGCAUGACACACUUACUGGGCUGCAGAGCCGAGCCACGGGACAGAGACACGGCGAGGAGGAGCGAGCCGUGAGGACAGAGUCACACGAAGGAGAGGAAGAGGAAGAUGAUGAUGAUGAUGAUGAGGAGGAGAAGCAGAUGAGAGCUCAUAAUGAUGAUAUCGACGUAGAGAAGGAAGGGAAACAAAUCUGUGCGGGGAGGAGGAUGCUGAGAGUGAUGAUGAUGAUGAUGAUGAUGAUGAUGGUGGUGCUGUGAGGACGGGACCUGCUCGGAGGAGAGAAGGUGGAUGCUGCUGCCGCUCGGACGCUUCUUCUUCUUCUUCUUCUUCUUCUUUAUCUUCUUCCUGUUCUCCUUCUGCUCAGUGUUGAUCAUCGUGCGGGGAAAAUCUCGGGUAUCAGCGAGAGUUUAACGAAGCGCUAUUCUGAGGAGGUGGGCCAA